AGCAGCCGCGGUAAUUCCAGCUCCAAUAGCGUAUAUUAAAGUUGUUGCAGUUAAAAAGCUCGUAGUUGAAUUUCGGGGUUAGCAAGUUGGUCGUGCCUUUGGUAUGCACUGGCUUUGCUGAUUCCUCCUUCUUGAAGAACUGUGAUGCUAUUAAUUUGGUGUUGCAGGGAAACAGGACUGUUACUUUGAAAAAAUUAGAGUGUUUAAAGCAGGCUA
rnacentral:rRNA from 1 species